CGGCGAGUGGCGUACACUGCGCCAACCACCAUUGGUGGUUCAACGAUGACCCUCGCCGA
rnacentral:tRNA from 1 species